rnacentral:lncRNA from 1 species
AAAAAAAAGAAAAAUAACGAGUAGAGACCAAUAAGCUUCAUAAACAUAGCCACAAAAAUCCUUAGCAAAAUACUAGCAAAUUGAGCCUAAUGAGCUCUUAAAGGAAUAAAGCAAAGGGGUGGGAGUUAUUUCGGGAAUGUGAGAAAACCUAGAGGAAGAUCAUUGAAGAUGGGUGUGGAUGCCAAUGGGAAAUAAAGAUAAAAAGGGAACAUCAUGGAAUUCCCAUUGUGGCACAGUGGGUUAGGGAUCUGGCAUUGCUGCAGCUGUGCAUUGGAUUUGAUCCGUGGCCUAGAAACUUCCAUGUGCAGCAGGUACAGCCAAAAAAAAAAAGGAACAUCAUCAUGAGCUCCAGUCAUCUUGAUUUCCAUUCUUAUUUAUAGCAGCUGACAUUUUUGAGCAUUUACCACCUUCCAGGAAGCAUGUUCAGAGUUGUAUGUGAAUUCUCUUGUUUCGUCUUUGCAAGAACCCCCUAAAGUAGGGACCAUGGUUGUUGGCAUUUUACAAAUGAGUAAACUAAAGCAUAGAGAAACCUAAAAACUUGUCCCCAGUCCUACAGGUGUUAAGAUUUGUGCCUAUGCCGUCUGUCUCCAGAUCCUGUACUAAUGCACACUCUACCAGAACUGCUCCUUUUCUGUGCUUUUGUCUGGCAAGGCUUAUUUCUUCACUCCUAAACAUUUAUCUACUUUUUCAGUCCAUCAUUAAGAACUGCCAUCUGAGUCAAAAUACUAAAGUGCUUCUAAGUAAAACUAUGUUUAUGAAACUAUAAACUCAUAAUACUAGAAUGAGAGAUAUGCUGGGUUACCCUCUUCUAAAUUUUUAUGUGGCUACAAAUAUUGACAUCUCCAAGAAGUGGGAAAAAUACUUUCCCGUCCCUAUGUGUAGAACAAAAUGCCUUUUCUUCUUCUGUGUAGACCUGGAUUUCAAUGCUGGCACUGUGCCUCGAUGGCAUCUGAACUUGGGCAAGGUCUUUAAGCCCUGUAGACUUUUGUUCUCAGACUUGUAAAAUGCCAUGGUUCUGCCUCUGGGAUGGCAUAGUGUGCCGAUGAGGAAGAUAACUAGGGUAUUCUUUUCUUCUUUCUGCUUCUCCCUAGCUUUUCCUCUUCUACGAUGCUUCCUCAGAGUUUCAGAAGUUUGACCCUCUCCAGAAAAGCCUUUUUCAAACUUUUUUGACCGUUGUCCACCAAAGAAAUAACUUUACUUCACACACCAAUAGACACAUUAUAUACACAUACAUAUAGAAUGAAAGUGACCACCUAGUUUUUUGUACCAACUAGGAAAGUUAUUACCUUUGAAAGUAACUAUGCUGAGACAACGGGAAUAAGCUGGCAGUGUUCUGGGAAAAUGGGGCCACAUGUCACAAAACCACUUGACCUUCCUUAAUUUGAUGCCCUCUGUUAUUUUAUCAUGUGUUUUAGUUAAUUUUAAAAGAGCUCAGACCUAUUAAGUAGAUUUUCAUAACCUAUGAAUGAGGCCUUUCCCAGGCAUUUUGAUUCGCUCUAGAGAAUGACUUAUCUGACCAUCCAACAUUUCUGGUAUCCAGAAGUACUGUAGGUGAGCAUAUACAAAUAUGCAACAUUUCUGGAGACCUCAGGCGCUGGACAAGAUGGGUUCUGAUCGCCAGAACCACACUCGUUCCAACUCUGUUUCUGUUUGUUCAUGCAUUCAUUAUCCGUUCUUUUCAUUCCCUCAUUUUUCAAAUACUUUGAGCACGUUCUGUACCACCAAGUGCUGGAAAUGACCAAAUACUGAGGGCUGGGACACGAUCCCGGCUCUUGAGUUCCUGGGGUGGACGAGGGUUGACGCCCGCGGGGACACAUCGUUACGGGACAGGGAGAUGAGUGUGAAGUUCCAAGGCGAUCGGGAGGCCGUAGGAACGUGGAAGAAAGAUCCACUAACUUUGCCGGGGAGGAGGAAAGGAGUCAGAGGAAAAGCGUUGCAUUAGGUUCUCAAAGACCGGGAGGAACGGAGGAUGGGAGGAGCUACUACUGCGGUGCCGCGGCCACGCCCUCAACGCAGUGCCCCACAGGCUUCUGCUGUGGUGGCUGUGUCUAUUUCCCGUGUUUCUCACAUGGAUUUCAAACUUCAUGAGCUUACUUAACACCUCUUCUAUUUCGGCCUGUUAUUUUUGUUGUUGUUGUUUUUAAUACGCAAUGAAUGGGUACUAGCCCUCCUCCUUCUCUUGUCCCAUGCAACUCACUGGCCUUUAUUUUUUUCCGGCACGUUUCACCUUCUAUAUAUGCAUAUAUGAGUGUGUGUGUGUGUGUAUUUUUUUACCUAUUAUAUUUAUUAUCUGUUUCCUCCUCCUAGGAAGUAAGCUGAGGAAGGGGAGGGUUGGUCUGUUUUGUUCACGGAGGUGUCCUGCCCCUGGAAAAGUGCCUGGUACAUACACAGUUGGUCCCUGAAAAAUAAUGGGAGUGAUCCGAAGGAGCCAAUUUCUGUAUCCAGGAUGUAAUUAGUAUCGGCUCAUAUGUGAAGGAAAAUGCAUAGGAAAAAAUUGAAACUUACAAGGGACUAUUGGCUGCUCAGUUACCUGUAGCAACAUCCUCGGCUGCCUAAUGCUCGUCCUGUACAAGACUCGGUUUAAGCAUCAGCUUCUCCAGAAGAUCUGGUCCACAAGCCAUCUCCACCCCAGCAGCUUCUAUGGCUGCUGUCACCCGCCACCUCCCUUCUCCCAGCUGCGUCUUCAAGCCAUUUUUAGAACAGGAAAGGAUCAUUUCAUCAGACUGAAGUGGGUGCUUGGUGGCUACUUCUGCAGCGGGAGGACUGAAUCACCCUCCAUCCACAGGGAGCUUCAGAGCUUCUAAAGGUGGAUUGAAGGCUUCAGCCCUGCUUUACGGGCGGCGGUCAGGAUGGGUGUUUGCCGAUGCUCUACAUCUUUCUGUGACAAAAGCCACGCAUCUGCUUCACAGUCGGCAGUAACACAGGGCUGACACCCUUUUAGGAUGGCUGACUUGGGUGACAGUGUGACUAUGGGAACGCCAGCCCUCUCACGAACAAAGUCUACAUCCAUCUUCGUGUAACCUACUUUGCUUUGCCUCAAGAAAGCUCGGCACAGGCGGGCAGUUUUGUCUGCGGUGCUCACCGCUCUGUCUCCAUCCCUAAGGGCAGUACUUAAAUGCUUACUCUGCGGGCACUCAGUAACUGUUUCUUGAAUGAGUGAUGAACUAUCCUCAUGACAGGUGAACAUCAUCUUGCGUCUGAUGUGCUGUUUGGGCUGUAUUUCGCCCACUGAGGAACUCCCAACGUGUACUGUUUAUGCAGACAGCCACCUUUUUGCUCAUCCUCCUCCCACCUCCGCCCCUGCAAAUUUCAGUUCCAAUACUCCGCUGCACGAUCCUUCUCACGUGGAUGCCAUUUCUCCAUUUUCCUUUACAGAACAGACAAACCACGAAUGUUGGCAAACAUACACUCCUGAGUAUGUUGUUACAAAAUUUCCAAAUCUUCUGAUCAAGCCACAGGCUUUACAAAUAUAACAAAGUCACUUUUUUUUUUCUUUUGUAAAAUGCUAUACUUUGCAAUGUGUUUUCCAUAAAAGUACCAAUUUUUGCCGUGUGAUUCAGAAAUCAGAGAAGAAAUGGUGAUAAUAUAUGCUAAAAUGAAAA